UUUCCGAUGCCUCCCAUUCCUA
rnacentral:miRNA from 1 species